rnacentral:rRNA from 1 species
AAGACGGGGGGUGCUAGCGUUGCUCGGAAUCACUGGGCGUAAAGGGCGCGCAGAAACCCGCGUGCGUCGGGCGUGAAAUCCCGGGGCUCAACCCCGGAACGGCGCCCGAUACGGCGUGGCUGGAGGCCGGAAGAGGAGGAAACAAUUCCCGGUGUAGAGGUGAAAUUCGUAGAUAUCGGGAGGAACACCGGUGGCGAAGAAACCUCUCUGGUCCGGUCCUGACGCUCAGGCGCGAAAGCGUGGGGAGCAAACAGGAUUAGAUACCCUGGUAGUCCACGCCCUAAACGAUGUGCGCUAGCCGUCGGGGGGUUUCCCCUCGGUGGCGCAGCCAACGCGUUGAGCGCACCGCCUGGGGAGUACGGCCGCAAGGCU